rnacentral:rRNA from 1 species
UACGUAGGGGGCGAGCGUUAUCCGGAUUCAUUGGGCGUAAAGCGCGCGUAGGCGGCCGCCUAAGCGGAACCUCUAACCCCGGGGCUCAACCUCGGGCCGGGUCCGGACUGGGCGGCUCGAGUGCGGUAGAGGAGAGCGGAAUUCCCGGUGUAGCGGUGGAAUGCGCAGAUAUCGGGAAGAACACCGAUGGCGAAGGCAGCUCUCUGGGCCGUCACUGACGCUGAGGCGCGAAAGCUGGGGGAGCGAACAGG